GUCGAGCUAUGUAACGUGAGCUUGUAACUUGAGUGAGGGCAAUAAGGUGAUUGAACUUGGGCUUGGCCUAAUCUGGUAUGGGCUUGUGUUGCACAUACUGACUCGCCCGCUCCAAGUUGGGAGUUGGGCUAUGUGGAACGGGCGAAGGCCUCUGUGCCACUUGGUUCCUAGAGUGGAGGACACCCCGUCAGGCUGGUUUCACAGAGCAAGCGAAAACCUCCCUCUCGACAGUGGAAGGAUAACAAGACAGGUGCUCCAUGAGUCCACAAUGGGCCAGAUGGGCCCAGCCCAAAGAACAAUCACUUUU